AUUAAGUGAAAACUAGCUCAAUAUUCAUUACACCUUAUUUAAUAAAAGUGUUGUGGUAAUUUGAAAGUAAUUGGACUCAUAUUGUUCGUUUGCCAGCUAAAUUUCAAAAAUAAAAGUUGCUGCAAAUAGAAAUGCAGCUCAUCUUCAUAACCGCAUAAUUGAAAUAACGCUACAGUGCGCUAAUGUAUGAGAAUGUAUCUAUACUUCGGUGUAAGAAAUAUUGUCUAUGACGUAAUUUCCGUGUGACGUACGUGCCCGUUGUAAUUAUAUUUAAUGGGAGUAUAACCGUGUACUAAACAUAAUAAAAUAUGACUCUUGGAGAGAAGAUUAAACAUAAUGGAAAUAUGUCAACUUUAGCAACGAAGAAUUCCAAUCAAAUAAUAUCACAACAAAAUAACGAGCAUUUGUCUGUAAAGGAGAAAACAAGUGGAGACGCUGGAAAUAAUGCAAAUACUAUGCAGGCUGAUGUAACGAUAUCAUUUUUACGUUCUGCUCGUAGCGGUGAUUUAGAGAAAGUCUUGGAAUUUCUUGAAACUGGUCAAAUAGUUGACAUUAAUUCGAGCAAUGCGAAUGGGUUAAAUGCUUUACACUUAGCGGCAAAAGAUGGAUACAUCGAUAUAGUUACUGAACUACUUCGACGAGGUAUCAAAGUGGAUAAUGCUACCAAAAAAGGCAAUACUGCAUUACACAUAGCAUCAUUAGCUGGUCAAAAGGAUGUAAUAAAAUUGCUUCUAAGUUACAACGCGAAUGUUAAUGUACAAUCUUUAAAUGGUUUUACACCGCUAUAUAUGGCUGCUCAAGAAAAUCAUGAUGCAUGUGUACGUUUUUUGCUGACUAAAGGUGCAAAUCCUUCACUAGCUACAGAAGACGGCUUCACUCCACUUGCAGUAGCGAUGCAACAAGGCCAUGACAAAGUUGUUGCUGUACUUCUUGAAAGCGAUGUUCGAGGUAAAGUGCGAUUGCCCGCAUUGCAUAUAGCCGCUAAAAAGAACGAUGUUAGUGCUGCAAAUUUGUUGUUACAAAAUGAACAAUAUCCUGAUAUAAUAUCUAAAUCCGGUUUCACCCCGUUACAUAUUGCAGCGCACUACGGCAACCUGGAUAUUGCUAAUCUAUUAAUAGAACGUGGGGCUAACGUCAAUUUUACUGCUAAACAUAAUAUUACACCUAUUCAUGUUGCUUGUAAGUGGGGAAAAACAAAUAUUCUUCAAUUAUUGCUUUCAAAAAAUGCGCAAAUUAAUGCAAAAACAAGGGAUGGUCUAACGCCCUUGCACUGCGCAUCCAGAUCUGGACAUGUGGAUGUGAUCGAAACUCUUUUAAAUAAUAACGCCCCGAUAUUGUCCAAAACUAAAAAUGGACUAAAUCCGCUUCAUAUGGCAGCACAAGGUGAACAUGAUGAAGCGGCUAGGAUAUUAUUAGCGCAUAAAGCUCCAGUAGACGAAGUAACAGUGGACUAUUUAACUGCGUUGCAUGUAGCUGCACACUGCGGCCAUGUACGUGUAGCACGUUUAUUAUUACAGUACAAAGCAGAUCCUAAUGCACGUGCUUUAAAUGGCUUUACACCUCUCCAUAUAGCCUGCAAGAAAAACCGUAUUAAAGUUGUGGAAUUAUUGCUCAAACAUAAUGCAAAUAUUAGUGCUACAACUGAAUCUGGUUUGACAUGCUUACAUGUUGCCAGCUUUAUGGGUUGUAUGAAUAUAGUAAUCUAUUUGCUUCAGCAUGAUGCAAAUCCAGAUGCAACAACUGUGCGUGGGGAAACACCUCUGCAUUUAGCCGCACGUGCCAAUCAAACCGACAUUAUUCGAAUAUUGCUACGCAAUGGUGCGCAAAUUGAAGUAUAUGCACGCGAGGGACAAACACCUUUGCAUGUAGCAUCGCGACUAGGAAAUAUCGACAUUAUUAUGCUAAUGUUGCAACAUGGGGCCAAUGUUAAUGCUACUACGAAAGACAUAUACUCUCCACUGCAUAUUGCUGCAAAGGAGGGUCAAGAAGAUGUAGCACAGAUUCUAAUUGAAAACAAUGCACAUCUGAAUGCUAUAACGAAGAAGGGUUUCACACCUUUACAUUUAGCAGCUAAAUAUGGCAAAGAUAAACUGGCUGCAUUGCUAAUCUCCCAUGGUGCUGACAUUAAUUGUCAAGGUAAAAAUUCGAUAACACCUUUACAUGUCGCUUGCCAUUAUAAUCACCAAAAUGUAGUACAAUUACUACUUGACAAAGGUGCCUCCCCACAUUUAUGUGCCAAAAAUGGACAUAGUGCAUUGCACAUUGCAGCUAAAAAAAAUCAAAUCGAAAACGCUGAAUUGUUACUACAAUACGGAGCUGAACCAGAUGUACGCAGUAAAGCAGGUUUUUCGCCUCUUCAUCUAGCUACUCAAGAAGGUCAUAUUGAAAUAAUAAAAUUGUUAUUAGAACAUAAGGUAGAUCCUAAUGGAAUAUCUAAAAAUGGGCUCACCCCACUUCAUUUAUGCGCUCAAGAAGAUCACGCAGAAGUAGCAAGGGUAUUACUUGAUCAUCAAGCUCGCAUAUCAGAUAAAACUAAGUCUGGUUAUACACCACUACAUUUAGCGGCACACUAUGGCCAAAUUAACAUGGUUAAAUUCUUAUUAGAAAACGAUGCCAACGUAGAAAUGAUUACCAAUGUUGGAUAUACUCCUCUCCAUCAAGCUGCUCAGCAAGGUCAUACGAUGGUUAUUAACUUAUUGUUACGACAUAAGGCGAACCCCAAUGCUGUCACUACAAAUGGUCACACCGCAUUAAGCAUCGCCAAUAGUCUCGGUUAUGUGACAGCAGUGGAAACUUUAAAAGUUGUUACGGAAAAAACGAUUGAAAACACAAUAGUUGGCGUCUUAGAAGAAAAAUACAAAGUGGUUGGCCCAGAGUUAAUGCAUGAAACCUUCAUAUCUGACUCAGAAGAAGAGGGUGACGACGAACAUUUGGAUCAUCAGCAAUACAAAUAUAUGGCAACAGAUGAUUUAAAAACGACGAUCGAAGGAGAUCAUAAAAACUACGAUAAUAUGGACAAUGAAGAGCAAUCAGAUGAAAAAGCUUCAAAAAGCAAUUUAGAAGUGGAUGCAGUUAAAAUGAAUGUUACUAACGUUGACCUUUCAAAUCAAGUGGAUAAUGUUUCAAUUACUCGACCACCUUUGCAUUUGGGGUUUCUGGUAUCAUUUUUAGUAGAUGCUCGUGGUGGUUCGAUGAAGCAAUGUACCAUUCACAGACAUAGUGGUGUACGUAUUAUUGUACCUCCAAAAUCAUGUGCCCAACCUACAAGAAUAACUUGUCGUUACGUUAAACCAUUACGUGUCCAUAACCCCCCACCACUUAUGGAAGGAGAAGCUUUGGUUAGUCGUAUAAUCGAACUAUCGCCAGUGGAAGCAAAGUUCUUAGGACCUGUUAUAUUAGAAAUUCCACAUUUUGGUGCGUUAUGCGAUAAGGAACGUGAAAUAAUUGUACUCCGUUCUGAUAAUGGUGACAGUUGGCGAGAACACACUUUAUAUGAAAAUGGAGAAGACAUCGAGAUUCAUAAAAAAUUUAAUAAUGAAAUAAGUGGUAUAAACGAUUUGCAUUCUCAUCGUGUUAUUCGUAUAGUAACACAUAGCUUCCCACAUUUCUUUGCUGUAUUAUCUCGUAUAAGGCAAGAAGUACAUGCUAUUGGCCCUGAUGGUGGCACUGUAUCUUCAUUAGCUGUUCCGGAAGUUCAGGCAAUUUUUCCAUCAAAUGCACUAACAAAAAAAAUUCGUGUCGGUCUUCAGGCACAACCAGUUGACCUAAAUGGUUGCUGCAAAAUGCUAGGCCAAGGGGUUGCUGUAUCUCCAGUAGUUACAGUUGAACCGCGUCGUCGUAAGUUUCAUAAACCUAUAACUCUUAGCAUCCCGGCACCGAAAGCUUACACACAAGGCAUGGUAAAUUCACCAUAUACAAAUAAUGCACCCACAUUACGCUUAUUAUGUUCUAUUACUGGAGGGCAAAAUCGAGCCGUUUGGGAAGAUGUCACUGGGUCUACUCCACUGACAUUUGUUAAAGACAGCAUUACAUUCACAACAACCGUGUCCGCACGCUUUUGGUUGAUGGAUUGCCGUAAUAUUUCAGAUGCAAGUCGAAUGGCAACCGAUUUAUAUUCCUAUAUGACUCGUGUACCAUUUAUGGUUAAAUUUGUAGUUUUCGUAAAACGCAUUUCGGCUACAGAGGCAAAGUUAUCAGUAUUUUGCAUGACUGAUGAUAAAGAAGAAAAAACUUUGGAACAGCAGGAGUACUUUAGCGAAGCAGCUAACAGUCGAGAAGUUGAAGUUCUCGAAGAUCAAGAUAUUUACUUGGAGUUUGCUGGUAAUUUAGUACCAGUUCAUAAAUCGGACGAACAACUACAUCUGAAAUUUCGUGCUUUUCGAGAAAAUCGUCUGUCAUUUUUAGUACAUAUAAAAGAUCCAGAUGAGCAACCAUUUUCACGCAUUUGCUUUAUGAAUGCGGCAAAAGUAAAUCAAAAUUCAUCGACUCAAAAACCAAUUUGUAUUUUGAACAUUUCACUUGAAGGGCAAGGUAUCAUCAAGCAGAAGUAUGGUAUUGAAAGCCUUCACAACUCCAUUAAUAGUUUGAAACAUAAUUCCAGUGAUAUAGUUAUGCUGGAACACACGAAUCUUCCAAUAAAUUCAGUAAAUGAAACCACUACUACUAAUGAUAUACAAAAAGCAGUUAUUAGUAUCUCAGAAAUAUGCAAUUUAUUGGAGAGCGACUGGUUUAGUCUAGCCAAACAAUUGGGUGUAUCCGAGACCGAUAUCGAUUUAAUAAAUAACGAAUAUUCAAAUCGCCAAAACGAAAAGCCUUUCGUUAUGCUGCGUCUUUGGCUACGCCAACAAGGAAAACAUGCCAAUGGUAAUACACUGGAGCAAGCCUUACGUCAAAUUGGGCGAAGCGAUAUAGUCGAUAAGUGCAUUUGCAAUUUUGAAUCUGUAACAAAUGAUACAGAGCGCAAUUUAGCUGAAAUAAGGAUAAAUGAUAAUGAUUUAAAUUUCACCGAAUAUACAAACAACAGUAUUGAAUCAAAAAACUUUCAAAUUUCCAACUCUUCAUUAGCUUCAUCGUCGUUAAUAAAUACGCCUUUUGUUAAUAACGAAGAAACACAGGAAAAUAAUAUUGAAAGUUACGAAGAAAAGUGCGACAUUGGAUCAGAAAUUUUUAAUAAGUUAAAAACAGAAACUCCAGUAGUUCAAGUAGAAACUCUCCAACUUCAAAACGAAAUAAGCACACCUACUAAAUCCAUAGAUGAGCAGCAAAACCAGUACGACAUCGAUGUGAUACGCACUAUUGCAGAGGAACAUACUCGACAGGUUUUGCAAGAAGCACAACAAAAUAUCGAGAAAGGCAGUUUACCAGAAAACUACUUUUAAGUGUAAUUGUUGUUCCCUUCGUAGUUACUUUAAUUAAAAUCUUUAGUUUUGAGGGUUUCAGAGAUUACUUUGCUGAAUUGAAAUCAAUAAAAAUAUUUGUCGUAAUAGAUAAUGGACCGGCGUUUGAGUUUAGAAUGUGCUGAAAAGGCACAAAAAGUUUUCCUCAAAACUUGGGAUAGUGAACAUGAUGUUAUAGAUACAUUUGUCAAAACAACUUUCCGAAUCAUCUAUUAAGAACAUUAUUCAAUAUGUCAGUGGGUUUGUUGAAACGAUUAAUAUCUCCAAUCUUCUAAAUUCAUCGCUGCCAGAGAGUAUAAAACAAAAAUGAUUACAGAACCCGAUAAA